rnacentral:tRNA from 1 species
UUAUUAAACUAUAAAAUCAAAUUUUAAUAAAAUUUUUCUUUCUGCUUUUACUUGGUGUUUAAAAUAAAUAAAAGAUAUUUUAGAUAUUAAAAAAAAAGCAGAUAUCUUAUAUUAAUCUUUAUUUUUAUUAAACUAAGAUAUAAUUUAAAUUGAAAAAGUA